rnacentral:rRNA from 1 species
UCCUUAGAUGUUCUGGGCCGCACGCGCGCUACACUGACGAAGUCAGCGAGCAUGUCCUACGCCGACAGGUGCGGGGAAUCUUGUCAAACUUCGUCGUGAUGGGGAUUGAUUUUUGAAAUUCUUGAUCAUAAACGAGGAAUUCCUAGUAAGCGCAAGUCAGCAGCUUGCGUUGAUUACGUCCCUGCCCUUUGUACACACCGCCCGUCGCUACUACCGAUUGAAUGGUUUAGUGAGAUCUUCGGAUUGGCGCCACUGCAGCUCAGCAAUGGGCUUGGUGGAUGCCGAAAAGUUGAUCAAACUUGAUCAUUUAGAGGAAGUAAAAGUCGUAACA